rnacentral:miRNA from 1 species
GUAAUUUGUGUUGUUGGUUU